rnacentral:rRNA from 1 species
CUUAUUUUUUAUCUAAUAUAAUUUCUGCUCAAUGAAGAAAUUUUAAUAGCCACUAUAGUGCUAAGGUAGCAUAAUAAUUUGUUUUUUAAUUGAAAAAUUGAAUGAAUGAAUACACUAGAAAUUAAUUGUUUAAUUUUAUUAAAUGUAAUUUUAAUUUGAAUGAAAAAUUUCAAAUUUUUCUUUAAGGCGAUAAGACCCUAUGAACCUUUAUUUUUAAAAAAAAAUAAAAAAUUUAUUUGGGGAAAAUUAAAAUAAAAUUAUUUUAAUAAAAAUUGAUCUUUACAAAACUAAAUGAAAAAGGUACUCUAGGGAUAACAGCGUUAUAGUUAUUAAAGCCCAUAUUUAAGUAACUGU